GCUCCACACACUUUAAGACCCCCAGUACUGAUCAGUGACUGUCCCGUCCUUUCACAGACACUGACACAGGCAGCGUUAUGGCGAUGUCAAACUUUCUACUGCUGGUGAUGCUGGGACUCCUUAUACAGGAAUCAAUGGCAGAUAUAGUUCUGACUCAGUCUCCAGCAGCUCAGUCUGUUCAGCUGGGAGACACUGUCUCUAUCAGCUGUACAACCAGUCAGAGUGUUACAAUUGGCUCCUACCACUACCUCAGCUGGUACCAGCAGAAACCUGGUCAGGCUCCUAAACUUCUGAUUUAUUAUGCCACAAGUCGCCAGACUGGGAUUCCUGAUCGUUUCAGUGGGAGUGGAUCUGCUACUCAGUUUACACUGAAAAUCACUGGAGUCCAGGCUGAUGAUGCAGGAGAUUAUUACUGUCAGAGUUUUCACUACAUCAACAGUAAAGAUAUAUUCACACAGUGAUACAGAGCCGUACAAAAACCUCCCUCAGUCAGACUGCACAGAGACUGCACUGCUGCAGCUGGGACCUACUGCAGGUGCUGAGGGGGAGGCACUGACCGGAGACAUUGAGAGGCUUUGCUUGAAAACAUUGAUCUACAGUGGAUUAUUAUGAAAUCAUUCAGAUUCGCUUUUCAAAAAGAUCAUACUACAUUUUAAUUUCAGUGCAUUCUAGCCUUUAUUUAGGAAUGUAAUUUGGAUGAAUUUCCAAUGACUUUGCAUUUUGAAUUCUUUUUUAAACUAGUUUAACACAAGAUGUCACAGAACCCUGUAGCAGUGAACAGCAGGCAGUCCAGCACAGUGGAGUCACUCAGUCCAGAGCUCUCCCAGCACACAUCACACAAGCUGCUGUUACACACCCUGACCAAUCAGAGCUCCACUGCUGCUUCUGAUCUGAUCCUCUAACACCAUAAUAAAAGAGCACAAACUACAGUCUGAUAGGCACUGCUGACCAAUCCUGUGAGCCGCUGUGUAGAAGGGAAUAUGUCAUUAUCUGUGAGGUCACCACAGGAGGGAGGGAGGGACUCAUUCAGCUCAGUUGUCCCUUUCUCACUGAGGACAGAGUGAUUCCUCUGGUUGACUGUUUGCCUGCAGUCUAUCUGUGCCAGCUGCACAGUGUGAGCUCCCAGAUUCAGUGGCUGUGCUGCUCAGCUGGCUGAGAGCAAAAUGAAUAUUAUAGGCUACUGGCAGCACAUGGGGGAGAGCAUGAGAAUCUGUGCGCUCCAGAACUGAAGAAGGAAUUACAGUUUAGGACUAAAAAAAGGGGAUAAAUCUUUUUUUCUCGUUGUCUAAAUACAACUGCAUUAAAUAUAGAGAAAUGAGGUCUUCUGAGUGAAAUCAGGAAACAUUCAAAUUCACAAUAAUACAGUAUUUCACUUUUCAUUAAAUCCAUAUGGAUAUACUGUAAAUGAAUAGUUCCCUGUACCUGACUGAUGUCCUGACUUUCUGAACUCUUGUAAUGAACCUGCCAUCAAAGCCCAUAAGAUAUGAAUAUAUUAAACACAUAUUUAACAAUCAUACCUCAUGUUCAGCCAGUCUUUCUCAGUCACACAUCUUUAAUCAUACAAUACAAUAUCAUAAAGAGUAAAGUUCACAUUUUGUUUUACUGGGCAAAAAAUAGUGAAUAGAGCACAAGUCCCAGCCCUCUACAGACCCACUGCUGUUCACACAUCAGAGCUCCUCUAACUGUGUGUGACAGGGUUUGUAUAGAGGA